UCCAUCUAAAACCAGGUGCGGUCGCGGCCUCUAGGUGAUAACCUGGGUGGUUUCGCGCCGCAUUCCUGCACCCUUUUUUUACGAGCACCUUUGUUCUCCUUCGGCGGGGCAACCUGCCGCUGGAACUUGAUAAAACCUUUUUUUGCAUCUAGCAUUACCUGUUCUGAUACAAAUAAUCGUUA
rnacentral:misc_RNA from 1 species